rnacentral:rRNA from 1 species
UAUGUGAUCGUCUCUCGCAUAUCAAUAAGCGGAGGAAAAGAAACUAACAAGGAUUCCCCUAGUAACGGCGAGUGAAGCGGGAAGAGCUCAAAUUUGAAAUCUUAAAGGGUUUCCCUUUACGAAUUGUAGUUUAAAGAAGUGUUUUCUGUUGAGGUUUUGGUAAAAGUUCUUUGGAAUAGGACAUCAUAGAGGGUGAGAAUCCCGUAUUUGACCUUUACUUUCAACUUUGUGAUACACUUUCAAAGAGUCGGAUUGUUUGGGAAUGCAGUCCAAAAUGGGUGGUAAAUUUCAUCUAAAGCUAAAUAUUGGCGAGAGACCGAUAGCGAACAAGUACCGUGAGGGAAAGAUGAAAAGAACUUUGAAAAGAGAGUUAAACAGUACGUGAAAUUGUCAAAAGGGAAGCGUUUGACACCAGUGUUGUUUUUCUGAAAAUCAAUUAAAGGACUGUUUAUGCUAAGCUGUUUAGACUUUAUCAGCUAUCUGUUUAGUUUUGAGCUUUUCUUUAAUGCACUUUUCAGUUAACAAGUCAACAUCAAUUUCUUUUGCUGUAAAAAAGCUUGAGGAAGGUGGCUUGAGAUUCGUCUUAAGUGUUUAUAGCCUCUUGCCUAUGCAGUCGGAGAGAUUGAGGUCUGCAGCGUAGAUCCUUCGGGGCUAAAUGCAUUUGUGCUAAGUUAUAGCAUUUUAUAGACAACUUGUUGACUAUGAUUUGUCUUGUAGCUUACUCGCUUAGGUUAUUUUACCUACGCUUAGGAUGUUGACUGAUAUGUAGUCGUA